rnacentral:rRNA from 1 species
GAUGAACGCUAGCGAUAGGCCUAACACAUGCAAGUCGAGGGGCAGCACAUGAGUAGCAAUACGAUGGUGGCGACCGGCGCACGGGUGAGUAACACGUAUGCAACCUACCUUUAACAGGGGAAUAACCCGUUGAAAAACGGACUAAUACUCCAUAACACAGGGGUCCCGCAUGGGAAUAUUCGUUAAAGAUUUAUCGUUUGAAGAUGGGCAUGCGUUCCAUUAGCUUGUUGGUGAGGUAACGGCUCACCAAGGCCACGAUGGAUAGGGGAACUGAGAGGUUUAUCCCCCACACCGGAACUGAGACACGGUCCAGACUCCUACGGGAGGCAGCAGUGAGGAAUAUUGGUCAAUGGAGGCAACUCUGAACCAGCCAAGUCGCGUGAAGGAUGAAGGUCUUAUGGAUUGUAAACUUCUUUUGCAAGGGAAUAAAGUGGGGGACGUGUCCUCCUUUGCAUGUACCUUGCGAAUAAGGAUCGGCUAACUCCGUGCCAGCAGCCGCAGUAA